ACACACACACACACACACACACACACACAGAAGAACUUGCAAGUCGACACAUCAUAAAGGAAGAGCACAUCGCAACAGCAGCUGCUGUGCGAGACGGGAGGAAUAAGGUCGUCCAUCUUCGCGUCUUUCGCGCCUCUGCUUGUUUUCUUCUCCGUUGGCUGCCGCCACGCAUCCCUGCGUCAUCGACACCCGCAUUGUGCUCAUCUGCGUCAUCAUCUCAUUCGGCGCCAUGAUCUUCGAGCCGUGCGGCGACUUGCUCAAGGAUUACAGCGCCUUCUGCGAAUCUCUAUCUGUUACAGAGAGGGAGGACGUGUACAGCGCUAUUCUUACUCGUGUCGUCGAAGUGCCCCCUUUGCCUGCGGAUGAGCUCGAGGUGUCCGAAGGGGUCGGCGGUGGUGCUGGGGAUGCAUUGGACAGGCGUCUGAUAUCAGCCACUGCCAACGCGAAGGGAUCGCGCCCGUCGACCAAGACGGCUUCCAAGGAGAAGGAGAAGGCCAGCGCUGGCGGCAAACACAAGAGCCUUCUCAAGAGCUCGCAGGAGGCUUCGACAAAGCCGGCGGAAGAGGAGACUCCACCCCAUCUCCCGCUGACGCCUACCAUCACCUACGUCUCACUCCACUACCCCGUCUUCUGCUUGAACCAGCGCGAUAUGACACCGCUCUCUCGCGCCAUUCCGCACUGCCCUUCCUUGCUCUCCGUGGAGCUGAUCGGGUGCGGGCUGAGCGCGCAGAGCUACAUGCAGCUAGUAGAGGCGGUGUAUCGCAGCCCGCGUGUCUUGUCUGUAGCGGUGGAUUUCAACCAAGACAUCAGUGGAAACUCUUACACGUCCCACUCUCUCGAAAAGGGCAGCCACGCGAGUGUGCUCACAAACACGCGAGAGCAGGCUGGGUUUGUGAUUGACCCGACUCUGCGGAAUGCCGCGUCGCGGUCACUCGGCGAUGCGCUGGAGAUGUCAGUCGGCGGCUUCUGCGGCCUCUCCUUCGCUUCAGGAAACUCGCAGGAGCGGCCCUUCAGCUUGAACACAGUCCCUGCAACCUCUCCCAGCGGUACGAGCGCGGCUGACGCGGCGUCCAGUGGCGACCGGAACACUUCUCGUGUUGCCGGGGGUGACCCGAAGCCGGCCGUUAUGCGCAAUUCGAGGCUGUCGCAGAGCGCGGCAGCGGACGCGUCCGCCACCGUCUUGACCGAGGCUCAGCGGGUGGGAGAGGCCGGCGACGAGGACCACAGCGGGGGCAGCUUAGAGCUGUACUUUUACCCCACGCAGUUCUGUGGUCUGGAUCAGUUGCCCACGCAGCUGGAGCUGCAGCUGCAGGAGGAGACGGAGAAGAAAGGCAAGGUGGAUAGCAAGCGGCUGCAGCAGGUACAGGCGCAGCGUGACACCUUGCGCAUCUUCAAUCGGCAAAACCGCAUGGCAGUUCCCAAAUCGUGGGACGGCAUCCUCUUCACCGGCAUCCGCUUCCUCAGCUUGCGCGGAAACGGCAUCGACGACGCAGCCGUAACCCGCAUCGUGGAUGUGCUAAAGCACAAUCCCCGCUCGCAGCUCGAAUCGCUGAAUCUCUGGGGCAACAACAUCACCGACCUUGGUGCCACGGCGCUGGCGCAGCUGCUGCGCCAUAAUCGAGACAUUCGCGUCUUAGACGUCGGCAAUAAUAGGCUGAGCGACACCGGUCUUCUGGAAUUGAUUGACACGUUUCGCAUGCAUCAAGUGUCAUCGCUAGAGGAGGUACUUGCGCUGCGACGUGCCUAUUUAACCAGACGAGGCGCGACAGAUGAGGAGCGCAAGGCUGCGGGCCAGCCGUUGUUGGCCACCGAUAUCCCAAGCUAUGAAGAUCUCUACGCCUACUGGUGGUACACGCAGCAGCAGCUACACCAGCAGCCGCCGCCGCUUCCACACGCGACCGAACGUGGUGGCGCCGCGGACGCUACACCCCAAGUGUGGAACAACUUGUCUCUCUCUUCCGCUCUUUACAUGGCGCCGCCGCCGCCGCCUCCGCAGCGCGAUGCAUCGCUCAGCCCCAGCUCUUCAAGCGCGAAGCGGGCUUCUUCGAAGAGCAAGUCCAUGAGGUCGGAAUUGGUUCCUGGAGGCUGCGGUGGCGGGCCAAUGGCAUCCGCAGCAGCUACACUGUCUUCAUCUGCUGCGAGGGCAGCGAUGCGUCCUACGGUGGCCUUCGACAGAGACUGCGUGCGGAUGUGCCACCUCGCCGAGAAUGACCCAUCCAUCCGCGUACCGGGCAACACGGUACUGGAGGUGCUGAACCUGGAGGAGAACCGCUACGUCACCAUCAUCGGUGUGCGCGAGGCUGCGCGGCGGCUCGCCCUACGCGAGCCAGCAACGACGGCGGAGAUGUUAUCCAUGGUUGAGGUCCGGGAAGUGCACUCGACGCCGUCACUUUCACCGUCUGCGCCGCAUUCCGCCGCGAGUUCGAGCAUGGAAGGGGCUAGUAAACGCCUCACAAGCGCCAUCCACCGUAGCACAGCCGCUGCCUCGCAGCCGAUGCCGACACCGUUGACGGUGAUUCACCCACCUGAGCUACACUGCGCCGGGCUGCGGCUGCGGGUGUGCGCUGUGAGAUGCCACCGCGAGUCUGAUCGCAGGACGUGGCGUGAGAUGGAUGAGGUGCAGCAGCACCUGAACGCCUCUCUGGCACAAUGGUCCCGCUCUCGUGCCGCUUCGCGCACGUGAUGCUCAAAGUGAAAAGAAGUGCAAGGGUGUGGGGCGGGGGGGGCCGGCGGCGGCGGCGCAAACGGGAAAUGUAGAGACUGACCACGCGAACCCGCGGCACUGAGUGCCGGCGAUGCAUGCACACACACGCACUCGCGCAAGCACCACUUCACCAUCGUCCGAUGCCCAAAGGUCACCUCACUGUUUUUUUUUUUUGAUGUGCACUUUCCUCUCUGUUUCCUCGUAUCUUCUCUUACCUUGGCGUCAUGCUGGGUGGAGGCUUCAUUAGCUUGCCUCUGCAUAUGUAUGCGCGCGUGCAUGCAUGCUCACCGAGAACGAGCUCGUGGAGGGGCGCGGCUAGAGUUUCCGAGUGCUAGAGGUCACGCUGCUCGUUGCUUGCUCCAAAGGGUCGCGGCCCCUCUCGCUCUAUUCUCCGUGUGGCGUCGUGUUCCUGAGCGCUGCGUGCUGUGCUCUCUCAAACGAACAAGCGCAUCCGUGCGCGAGGUCAGAGCUGCGAUGUAAUCCGAACAGACAGACAAACAACGGCUCGAGAGAAGAAAAGAGCAGCAAUGAUUGUUCUAUUCUCGCGCUUCCCUUUCUAUGCGUCAUGCGCAUAUGUGCGUGUGCGCAUGCUCCUCCCUCGCGCCCCUCUCUCUGGUUCGACGAUGCCACUGCUGCAACCACCGGGACACCACCAGGUGAGGUAUGUACGGGUUUGGAGAGAGGAGAUGGAGGAGCGAAAAGGCAGAAAGCGGCACUUCAGCAGGGAGACGGAGGGGAGGGAGUGGGAGGGGGGGCUGUUGCACCCCCCCCCCACAGCUUGAAAGUGACUGGACGGAAAAUGUGCACGGCGGUUUAGUAAACUAAUAGGACCCCAUUGACGAAUCGCGGGCUGUCAAGCGCACCUCCCCAACCUCUCCCUAUCUUUUACCUUCGUGUUUGACGUUUUUUUUUACUGCAACGGGCCAUCACGGCAUUCUCUCUGCCCUCCUUUUCCCUCGUCUUAUCUUCACCCUCCCCCUUCCACCUCCCCCAUUAUCACCAACGCAUCAACAUACCGCGGGCCGGAGCAG
rnacentral:misc_RNA from 1 species